AUGAACGCUGGCGGCGUGCCUAAUACAUGCAAGUCGCGCGAACAGACGAGGAGCUUGCUCCUCUGACGUUAGCGGCGGACGGGUGAGUAACACGUGGAUAACCUACCUAUAAGACUGGGAUAACUUCGGGAAACCGGAGCUAAUACCGGAUAAUAUAUUGAACCGCAUGGUUCAAUAGUGAAAGACGGUUUUGCUGUCACUUAUAGAUGGAUCCGCGCCGCAUUAGCUAGUUGGUAAGGUAACGGCUUACCAAGGCGACGAUGCGUAGCCGACCUGAGAGGGUGAUCGGCCACACUGGAACUGAGACACGGACCAGACUCCUACGGGAGGCAGCAGUAGGGAAUCUUCCGCAAUGGGCGAAAGCCUGACGGAGCAACGCCGCGUGAGUGAUGAAGGUCUUCGGAUCGUAAAACUCUGUUAUUAGGGAAGAACAAAUGUGUAAGUAACUAUGCACGUCUUGACGGUACCUAAUCAGAAAGCCACGGCUAACUACGUG
rnacentral:rRNA from 1 species